rnacentral:lncRNA from 1 species
GGAUUAACCAAACAAUGCAACCUGUCCCGUCCCCCCCCCCAAUCAGACACACACACUCACUCGCUCCUCUUCCAUCUUCCACCAGCAGGGCUGGGUUCCUCCCCUCCACCCCCAAGUGCAUCCGACAGCUAAAGAGGGAGCGCUUUGCAAACACGCGCACACAUACCCCGGGGGUCCGCGGCUAGUCGCAGGGAAGUGGGAGUGGGCUCCGCGGGGGGGGGGGGCUACUUUCAAUCUCAUCAGCACCGACGCGGCUCUUACUGCAUUAUUUGGCGGUGGCGACGGUGCUGCCGCUGCUAAGCUGGUUUCUUCUCUCCUCCUCCACCCCAAUGAGGCUAAGGAGCUUGGUACAGGGCAAAAAAUAAAAGGCUCAGAACGCAUGCGCGGCGAUGGCUGGGACCGGCGCGCCACCCGGGCCCCCCCUCCCCCUCUCCAUUUUCCCCUUUCCCUUACGGAAGACCGGGUCCGACCACAGAGAGGAGCAAAACGAGGACCGCUCCUCAGGUACCGUGUUGCGCAUGCGCCAGGCUGGCGCCUAAAUCGCUUAUGUUGGUGGGUGUGGCUCCCACCCCUUUUGCCUUCUCAUCCGACUCAAACAGUGACCCUCACGGGGACCCGUAGAGGAGAUAGGUUUUCCUCAAAGAAAUUAAGCGAUGCAAAGCGAGCAAUUACAAGGACAAAGGCAAAGCCAAUGCCAGCUUGUGUAGACAGUCCGAAAAUCCCUGACGCCUUGCCGGGUGGCCUUCCCUGCGGCCGGUGGCUGUUGGCCCUUCUUCCGAUCCUCCCUGUCUUCCAGCGCCUCCCGGAGCCCGGCUCCGGCGGCCGGCGCCCCGCCGCGCGUGUCGGUUCUAGGGGCCGCCGGCGACUGUAACGCUCCACGUCCAUCACUUGAUGUCAGCCUCACAGCAGUCCUGUGAGGCACCUUGCAGGGUGCUGGGGGUUGAAGGACACGAGAGAAGCAGCCGCUGCCCUGGAAGCUCCUCAGAGGGACAGGUGCAUGAUAGGUGUAUGCAGAAGGGAUGGAGGAUGACUUCGUUGGGGAAAGGACCCGGGUGAAGAUCAGGAAAGACAUCAGGUACACCUUGAGUUAAGUCUUGAAGGAAAUCAGGGAUUUUGACAGGUGAAGAGGAGGGAUAAUGCAUUGGAGGCUUGGAAGACAGGGCAAAGGAAGGGAGAAGUUGUGGGGUUGUGUAUGAGAAGCCAUCAGGCCAGCUGGAGUGCCUGAAGCUGGGGGGCUAAGAUUGUGAAACUCAAAAAGUUGAUGGGAGACAAGUUGUGAAAGGUUUUGUCACGAUAUUAGGAGACACCCUGCUUUCCAGACCUAAGGCCCAGAAAGCAUGCUGUGCCCUGAGCUUGGCAUAACAACAAUCCUUUGCUCUCACUCUCUGGCAAAUGCUGUGGUGGGAUUUAUUAUUUUAUAUGAUAUGUGUAAUGAUUUAGAUUUGUUGGAGCUUCUCUAUUUUCCAGGAGAUCCUGGCCUGGGAACUCAGGCUGCAGCCAAUGUGCUGCAGCAGAAAGUGAGCUAUCACAUCCGCUAACGCUAUGAACAAUCCCAGUACUUGUAACUUCUAAGUGAACUGAGCCAGGUGCUACACUCCUUCCUGCCACACUAACCCUGGUUCUAUACCCCACUGACCGAUCAUAAGGCUUAGCGACCCUUAAGACUUGAGAUAAUCACAAGGCUCAGUGAUACUAAUAACUUAAAGACUGUUUCCACAGGACCCAAGAACGCCUGUAUUGUCCUGAAAAUAUCUGCACUUGUGGGCCUGCAGUAGGAACUGUUUACUCAAGACUUAAGGAUGACUGUGUUCGGCCCUGCCUUUUUGUGAUUUUCGUGCUUAAGAACCUUACCCCACCACAAAAAGUAAGCCCUCCUUGUCAGGAACGUGGACUGCCACUAGCAAGCGUUUUCCUCAAU